rnacentral:rRNA from 2 species
AGAGUUUGAUCCUGGCUCAGGACGAACGCUGGCGGCGUGCCUAACACAUGCAAGUCGAACGGAACUGUUUUGAAAGAUUUCUUCGGAAUGAAUUUGAUUUAGUUUAGUGGCGGACGGGUGAGUAACGCGUGAGUAACCUGCCUUCAAGAGGGGGAUAACAUUCUGAAAAGAAUGCUAAUACCGCAUGACAUAUCGGAACCACAUGGUUUUGAUAUCAAAGAUUUUAUCGCUUGAAGAUGGACUCGCGUCCGAUUAGUUAGUUGGUGAGGUAACGGCUCACCAAGACCGCGAUCGGUAGCCGGACUGAGAGGUUGAACGGCCACAUUGGGACUGAGACACGGCCCAGACUCCUACGGGAGGCAGCAGUGGGGGAUAUUGCGCAAUGGGGGCAACCCUGACGCAGCAACGCCGCGUGAAGGAUGAAGGUUUUCGGAUUGUAAACUUCUUUUAUUAAGGACGAAAAAUGACGGUACUUAAUGAAUAAGCUCCGGCUAACUACGUGCCAGCAGCCGCGGUAAUACGUAGGGAGCAAGCGUUGUCCGGAUUUACUGGGUGUAAAGGGUGCGUAGGCGGCUUUGCAAGUCAGAUGUGAAAUCUAUGGGCUCAACCCAUAAACUGCAUUUGAAACUGUAGAGCUUGAGUGAAGUAGAGGCAGGCGGAAUUCCCCGUGUAGCGGUGAAAUGCGUAGAGAUGGGGAGGAACACCAGUGGCGAAGGCGGCCUGCUGGGCUUUAACUGACGCUGAGGCACGAAAGCGUGGGUAGCAAACAGGAUUAGAUACCCUGGUAGUCCACGCUGUAAACGAUGAUUACUAGGU